rnacentral:rRNA from 1 species
UACAGAGGUCCCAAGCGUUGUUCGGAUUCAUUGGGCGUAAAGGGUGCGUAGGCGGCCCCGUAAGUCAGUGCUGAAAUAUCCCGGCUUAACCGGGAGGGUGGCAUUGAUACUGCGAGGCUUGAGUAAAGUUGAGGUAGGCGGAAUUGACGGUGUAGCGGUGAAAUGCUUAGAUAUCGUCAAGAACACCGAUAGUGUAGACAGCUUACUAAGCUUUAACUGACGCUGAGGCACGAAAGUGUGGGGAUCAAACAGG